GUCCUGCCUGCAGCUAAAGUAGUUUUAUCUAGCACUUAAAGGGGCAAUAUGUAGUUUUCAGUGGCAUUUUAAUAAUUAAUGUUAAAUGAGUGCUCAAAUGUUCACUGACAGACCUAGUAUUACCUUGUGCAAUACAAUAACUUUUAACUGCACUUUCCCAUUAGUUCAUUAGCACUAGUUAAUUUAGCUUGAUUUGUUGCAGACAAAACAUUUCAGGAAAAAGCACUGGUUUACUAGCGGUACUAGCAGUACGCAUUAAGUAUGCAUGCUUGAACUCCAGAAAGUGCUAAAUCCCACUCACCGGGAGACAGCUCCACAUAACAUGCUGGAAACUCAGGAAGAGGGGGUACAAGGUUACGAGAGAGGCGAAGGGUGUUACCUCAGCGUCGGGUGCCUCGUCCUCCCCGUCUCCCACCACUGCGUCCUGUCACCAACCUGAGCUUCUCUCGGAGCUUCACCUUCUCUUUCUUUGAGCUGCCGCUACACCAGUCGCCUUGCUGCCGUGUCGAACGCAUCAGAAACCUCAUGCUGCUUCUGAGACAGAUACACUACUGAAGAGUCAGUGCUGCGUGGACAGUUAAUUCUUGUAUUUUCCUAUUCCAUAGAAUCUGUUUUGUUGAAUCUUUUGUUUCUAUAUUUAUUGUAAACAAAUUAAACUACUUGGGGAUCUCA